rnacentral:rRNA from 1 species
AUGGCCAGCGACCGGGAGAGGCCGCGCCGCCGCCCGUCGCCGGAUCCUGUGGCGGUGCUCCGGGGCCACCGCGCCGCCGUCAGCGACGCCUGCUUCCACCACGCCCUCCCUCUCCUCUUCUCCGGCGCGGCUGACGGGGAGCUCAGGGUCUGGGACACGGCGAGCCACCGCACAGUCUCCUCCAUCUGGGCUCAUGGUGGCGCGGCUGGAGUGUAUUCAAUCGCUGCUGGCGCCGGACUUGGGAACACAAUCAUUAGCCAGGGAAGGGAUGGUUUGUGCAAAGGCUGGGCAAUUGAGGAAGCUGGGCUCUCACGGAGGCCCAUAUUUACAAUCAAAACAAGUACAUACCAUUUCUGUAAGAUGUCACUGGUUAAGGUUCCAUGUUCUGCACAUGGCACACAAACCAGCUUGAGUGGCUCAAAUGGUGGCACUGAGCCGCAAAGAGUACCUACUGAAGAUAAUACAGGAUCAGAUGUUGUAAAUCUUGCAGAAGGAACACAAGAAUAUGAACAAGGCAGAUCCUUGGAUGGAAAAAAUAUAUUGGCAAUCGCUGGUCAAGAAUCUUCUGAGGUUGAACUUUGGGACAUUGAAAAUUCAAGGAAGAUAAUGUGUUUGCCCCAAAGAUGUAGUGCUAAUAUGACAGGUCGCCUUACCAAGAAAAAAGGUCUAUGCAUGGCUGUGCAAGCUUUCAUCCCGUGUGAAUCUGGAGGCUAUGUUAAUAUUUUAUCAAGUUAUGAAGAUGGAAGCACUCUCUGGUGGGAUGUACGGAAGCCUGGGUCACCUUUAUCUUCAGUGAAAUAUCAUUUGGAAUCAGCUUUAUCCAUUGCUAUUGAUGGUUUAUGCACCGGUGGGAUCUCAGGAGGUGCUGAUAAUAAAGUAGCCAUGUUUGCCCUUGAUCAUCAGCAGGGCACGUUUUCUCUCAGGAAUGAGAUAGAAAUUGAGCAACCCGGUAUAGCGGGUAUAGCGAUUCGGCCAGACAACAAGAUUGCAGCAACUGCUGGUUGGGAUCACAGGAUUCGAGUGUAUAACUACAAUAAAGGAAAUGCUCUAGCGGUUCUAAAGUAUCACAGCGCUACGUGUGCCGUGGUGACUUUCUCACAUGACUGCAAACUGUUAGCCUCAUGCUCGGCGGACACCACGGUUGCGUUAUGGGAGCUGUAUCCUCCGAAAACACCCAGCAAAGUUCUCAUGGCAACAGAGGAGGUUGAGAGAUAG